rnacentral:rRNA from 1 species
UUAGUGGCGAACGGGUGAGNAACGCGUGAGUAACCUGCCCUGGAGUGGGGGACAACAGUUGGAAACGACUGCUAAUACCGCAUAAGCCCACGGAUCCGCAUGGAUCUGCGGGAAAAGGAUUUAUUCGCUUCAGGAUGGACUCGCGUCCAAUUAGCUGGUUGGUGAGGUAACGGCCCACCAAGGCGACGAUUGGUAGCCGGACUGAGAGGUUGAACGGCCACAUUGGGACUGAGACACGGCCCAGACUCCUACGGGAGGCAGCAGUGGGGGAUAUUGCACAAUGGGGGAAACCCUGAUGCAGCGACGCCGCGUGGAGGAAGAAGGUUUUCGGAUUGUAAACUCCUGUCGUUAGGGACGAUAAUGACGGUACCUAACAAGAAAGCACCGGCUAACUACGUGCCAGCAGCCGCGGUAAAACGUAGGGUGCAAGCGUUGUCCGGAAUUACUGGGUGUAAAGGGAGCGCAGGCGGACCGGCAAGUUGGAAGUGAAAACUAUGGGCUCAACCCAUAAAUUGCUUUCAAAACUGCUGGCCUUGAGUAGUGCAGAGGUAGGUGGAAUUCCCGGUGUAGCGGUGGAAUGCGUAGAUAUCGGGAGGAACACCAGUGGCGAAGGCGACCUACUGGGCACCAACUGACGCUGAGGCUCGAAAGCAUGGGUAGCAAACAGGAUUAGAUACCCUGGUAGUCCAUGCCGUAAACGAUGAUUACUAGGUGU